AAUAACAAAUAAACUUGUCCCUAAAUGAAACUUUCAGCGGGAAGGAAGAGCAGGAACUAAAAGUCUCUAGAAAAUUUCUCUCUAUAUAGUAAUAACCUAAAAUCCCCAAAUCCAAUGAUAAAGGUAUUAGAUUUUUCUCUCUCUAGCAAUAUGCCAAAAUAUCUGAAGCUGAAGUAACUUCAAUUUUUUUUUCUCUGCCAAAAUCGUUGUGCAUAGAAGUCUUGUUACUCUUGAAUCUUGAGGCUUGAAGGCAUUAUUGGAAGAAAAAUCUCCUAAAGCUUGAAGCUUGAAGGCAUUAUUGGGAGAAAAACGUUUCACCUACAAACUGUAUCUACAUCUAAAGUUAUGGCACCGAGUAAGAAAUGGAUUCAACUUGUUGAUGAUCGACUUAAUGAGGUCUACUUUAUCGGGGUAGAAAAUUUUUUAAAUUAUGCUUUUCAAAGAGCAGGAGAAAUGUAUGAAAUACGAUGUCCAUGUGUCAAAUGUUGUAAUACCACAUUAGUAACACGUGAGACAGUCAGAACACACUUGAAGUUUAUGGAAUAAUUAAAAACUAUACCUUUUGGUAUCAUCAUGGGGAAGUCUACGGUGAGCCAGAAUCAGAAUGUGAAGAUAGAGAUGAUAAUGAAGCAGAAAAUUGUGAAAAUGAGGAUGAAAUAAGAGAAAUUUUGAGAGGUUUCUAUCCUAACCAUUAUGGACACACUGCAGAUGUUGAUUUUAAUGAGUCACAUGAAGAGGAACCAAUGUUGAAGCCAAAAAGUUUUAUAGCCUGUUGGGAGACGUUGAGAAGACACUUUAUCAAGGUUCAAAAAUUUUAAAACUUUCAACUUUGAAAGUAUGGGUCGUUGGAGUAAUGAGUCAUUUACGAUGUUAUUAAAAAUGCUAAAAGAUGAGUUGUUGCCUGAUGAAGCCGAUUUGCCGAAUACAUAUUAUGGGGCAAAGAAGGUAAUUCGGAAUCUUGGACUUUCCUAUGAAAGAUUUGAUGCUUGUAUAAGUGAUUGCAUGUUAUAUUAGGAGGAUAAAUUACUUGAUUCUUGUAAAGUUUGUGGCGAAUGCAGAUGGAAAGUUGAUAAACGUAGCGGGGAAGCAAAGAACAAAAAGGGUAAAAAGAUAGCAUCAAAGAUUUUGUGUUAUUUUCCAUUAAAGCCUAGGCUUCAAAGGUUAUUUAUGUCUUCAAAGACAUCUUCUCUAAUGACAUGGCAUCAUGAUGAAAGAGUUGAUGAUGGAAUAGUGAGGCACCCAGCUGAUUCAAUGGCAUGGAAAUCAUUUGAUGAACUUCAUCCUUCAUUUGCAGCCGAGCCUCGUAAUGUUCGACUUGGACUUGCGAGUGAUGGUUUCAACCAUUUCGGAAUGUAAAAAACUCAUAUAGCAUUUGGCCGGUGAUACUUAUUUCCACCUUGGUUGUGUAUGAAGCAAGAAAACUUUAUCAUGUCCAUGCUUAUUCCUGGUCCAGAUGGUCCAGGUGAUGCAAUUUACACAUAUCUUCAACCCUUAAUAGAAGAAUUGAAGGAGUUAUGGGAUAUUGGUGUUGAGACCUUUGAUUCAUCAACCAAGCAGAAUUUUAAGUUACAUGCUUCUUUGUUAUGGACCAUCAACGACUUUCCAGCAUAUGAAAAUUUAUCUAGAUGGAGUACGAAAGGAAAACUGGCAUGCCCAUGUUGCAACAAAGAUACUUCCUCAAUCAGAUUGACCAAUUGUAAGAAACAAUGUUAUAUGGGUCAUCGUUGUUAUCUUCCUCGCAAUCACAAAUGGAGGAAUGAUAAUAACUCCUUUGAUGGUAAAGAAGAGAAGAGGCUCCCACCGAAAAAACUUUUUGGUAUUGAGAUUCUUUAUCAAGUUCAAGAUCUUGAGGGGUUGCAGUUAACAAAGGAACCAAAGAAAAGAAUCAAAAUAUCACAUGAUAGUCGAAAAAAUAAUUGGAACAAGAAGAGUAUCUUUUUUGAACUUUCAUAUUGAGAGUCUCUUUUGUUGCGACAUAAUUUGAAUGUUAUGCAUAUUGAGAAAAAUAUAUGUGACAACAUUUUGGGGACAAUUAUGAAUGCCAAAGGAAAAACCAAGGACAGUAUUAAUACUCGGCUAGAUUUGAAAGAAAUGAAUAUAAGGCCAGAGUUGCACCCUAUCGAGAAAGGUGAAAAAUAUGAAGUUCCAACUGCAUGUUACACCUUAUCUCCACAAGAAAAGCACAAUUUUUGUCUGUUUUCGAAGAAUUUAAAGGUUCCAGAUGGAUUUUCAUCCAAUAUUUCUCAGUGUGUUAACCUGAAAGAUCACAAAAUUUCUUGUUUAAAAAGUCAUGAUUGUCAUGUUCUUCUUCAGCAUUUACUCCCUCUUGCACUACGGGGUAUGUUGUCCAAAGAAGUGUGUGAACCACUAAUUGAAUUAUCUUUAUUUUUUAAUAUGAUUAGAGCUAAGUCAUUAAGGAUUGAUGAUUUGGAGCAGAUUGAGGCUCAAAUUCCUAUAACUCUUUGCAAGUUAGAAAAGGUGUGAUAUGAAAUCAUCAAAGGAUGAAAAUCAGGUGGCAUCUAGAGUAAAGUUACUACUAAAUAUGCAUAUGUGCCAUCGAGUUCUAUAGGAAAAGGACGAGGAAGAGGUCUUAAAUCUAUGGUGUCAAGAACUUAUAUUCCAUUUUCUCCAUCUACUGAUCAAGUUAUGCAAUACAAUCAAUUUACUGAAACAAGUGUGGUUGCAUAGGGACGAGGAAAAGGUCUUAGAUAUGUGUUUAAUCCUCAAGGAGUGAGAACAAUGAAGAAAAACUACUUGAGUGUUGAGAAAGGACAUAUUCCAUCUUUUUCAUCUACAAAGGAACUUAUGCAAUAUAUCAAAACAAAUUUAUCAAGGGCUCAAGGGAAAUAUCAGGGCUUAAAUCUAUUGCUCAAUUGAAGAUAUUUGAAAAUGAGGAGCGAUCUUUCAAUCAAAAUGAUCGUUGUGUUAGUCAAAGCAUGUCAAAACCUUCUGAUGCUCAAGGAUGGAGAACAAUGAAUAAAAAGUAUUUGACUUCUGAGAAAGAGCAUAAGUAAGCUGAUGUUCCAAUUUCUCUUUUUACUGAUGAUGUUAUGGAGUUCACCCCAACAUUUGAAACAAGUUUUUCUCAAGGAUUGCGAACAAUGAAUAAAAUUUUUUUGGCUUUUGAGAAAGAGGAUAUGCAAACUGAUAGUGUUAUAGAGCCCACCCCAACUUUUGAAACAAGUUUCUCUCAAGGAUGGAGAACAACAGAUAAAACUACUUUGGCUCAUGAGAAAGAGAGUUUGCAUUCUGAUAUUCUAAUUUCUCCUAUUGAUCAAGUUAAACAGUCUGCCCAAAGAGCUGAAACAAUUUCAUGUGCUACUGGACUGGAUAAAAAGGUUCGAGGAAGUAACAAGUGCAAAGAAGUUGCAUCGCUUGAUAUUGGACAAAAGCUAAAAGUGACAUUUUACAAUAAUCGAACUGUUGGGAAGAAUAGUAAUCUAUUUUCGAGGCACUUGGAAAAAAUAGUUCGUGAUCGUAAUAUAUGUCCGUUGGGAGUAUCAUCAUGGAAAACAUUAAGGAGGAAAAGUUAAAUCACAUGUGGGCUGUUGUUAAGGGCGGAAAAGAUGGAAAUCCACCAGAUUUGACAACUAUCUUUUACGAGACUCGCAAGAAGAAUAACACACUUGUUGAUUCUGAAACAAUCGAGAAGCAUACACUUUGUAGGCUCAAAUUCAAGAAUUGGUGGAGUCUGAACCAUCACUUUCUAGCAUAGAAAUUGUUGAGAAAUGCUUUGGACCUCAAAGUCGUACUCAUGUAUUUGGCUUUGGAGGUGGACUAAAAGCAAGAGAUUUGAAAGGUGGG